AGGGGUAUAGCUCAGUGGUAGAGCAUGUGCUUAGCAUGCAUCAAGUCCUGAGUUCAAUCCUUAGUACCUCCA
rnacentral:tRNA from 1 species